rnacentral:rRNA from 1 species
AUGAAUAUUAUGUGUUUGAACUGUCGGGGUUGUGGGCGGCCCGAGACAGUUCGUGAAAUUAGUGACCUCGUUAGGUUGCAACGCCCGGGUCUGCUCUUUCUUUCGGAGACCAAGUUGACUGAGAAGAGAGCUCAAGAUCUUAGACGGAGAUUUGGCUUCAGUAAUGCUUUUGGAGUUAAGGCCAUUGGAUUAAGUGGAGGAUUGUGCCUUUAUUGGAAUAAUGAUUCUAAGGUGUCACUGAAAUCAUACAGUAAUUCACAUAUAGAUGUUAUGGUACAGAAUGACAAUGUUGGUGAUGGGGAUUGGAGGUUUACUGGAUUCUAUGGCGAUCCAGUGAGAUCUAAGAGGAAAAGAUGCUGGGAUUUAUUGAAGUUCAUGAGAAAGGAAUUUGAUAAUGCGUGGAUCUGUGCAGGUGACUUCAAUGAGGUCCUGCAUGCAUCGGAACAAAUAGGAGGCAAUGAAAGAUAG